rnacentral:rRNA from 1 species
GAUGAACGCUGGCGGCGUGCCUAAUACAUGCAAGUCGAGCGAACGGACGAGAAGCUUGCUUCUCUGAUGUUAGCGGCGGACGGGUGAGUAACACGUGGAUAACCUACCUAUAAGACUGGGAUAACUUCGGGAAACCGGAGCUAAUACCGGAUAAUAUUUUGAACCGCAUGGUUCAAAAGUGAAAGACGGUCUUGCUGUCACUUAUAGAUGGAUCCGCGCUGCAUUAGCUAGUUGGUAAGGUAACGGCUUACCAAGGCAACGAUGCAUAGCCGACCUGAGAGGGUGAUCGGCCACACUGGAACUGAGGCACGGUCCAGACUCCUACGGGAGGCAGCAGUAGGGAAUCUUCCGCAAUGGGCGAAAGCCUGACGGAGCAACGCCGCGUGAGUGAUGAAGGUCUUCGGAUCGUAAAACUCUGUUAUUAGGGAAGAACAUAUGUGUAAGUAACUGUGCACAUCUUGAUGGUACCUAAUCAGAAAGCCACGGCUAACUACGUG